rnacentral:rRNA from 1 species
UACGAAGGGGGCUAGCGUUGCUCGGAAUCACUGGGCGUAAAGGGCUCGUAGGCGGUUUGUCGCGUCGGGAGUGAAAACUCGGAGCUUAACUCCGAGCCUGCUUCCGAUACGGGCAGACUAGAGGUAUGCAGGGGAGAACGGAAUUCCUGGUGUAGCGGUGAAAUGCGCAGAUAUCAGGAGGAACACCGGUGGCGAAGGCGGUUCUCUGGGCAUUACCUGACGCUGAGGAGCGAAAGUGUGGGGAGCGAACAGG